UUUGUCUUAGUCAGUUCCUCUGUGUUGUCCCAGUUUUUACUCCUCCAGUUUAUAAUGUUUGAGUCUUUUACCAAGCUUAGUUUCUUGUAUGUGUGUUCAGCUUGAGAGUGUUGGAUACCACAGCUCUCCUGAUUUCCUUCCAUCUCUGCAACCAACCUAUCUAAUGUUGAGCUGCUGACAUGGCACCAGAUUUCUAAUAUUACCACGUUUUAUAUCCAGUUUUCCUGAAAAACACCUCAUCGGUUCCACCUGCAACUUUUCCUUCAGCGUCUCACUCACCAUAAGU